UGAACCGGGUGGCUGGAGUCUCCUCUCCUCACGGGACCUGUUAAUUAGUGGACAAUUGGCUUUGGCUCUAGUUUUUCCUUGAAACCCAAUUUGAGGGGAGUGGAUAAUUGCCUUGUGAACUGAGUGGCUGGAGUAUCCUCUCCUCAGGAGACCGUUUUUUCUUCUCUCUAUUUUCUGUUUGUUAAGGCAGUGCAAAAGCAAUUUGACAUGCCGAUAUAUAAGAACAAGAUCAUGAUCAAUGAUCAUAGUAGUACACUCCUGACGAUCUGUAUGAUUCCUUUUGCCUGCUUGCUUGCUCUCGAGUAGUUUGUAGUUUAUAAUAGUGCAUCAUUGGUGAACAAUUAUCACAGAGAAUCCACGUAACGCAUCAUCUCUUGCAUAACACAAAUGGGAAUCAUUCGUACCAUAGAGUCCAGUGGUACAAAUCAACCAGUGCUAUCUCUCUUUUUUUUUUGAAAAGGAGGAUGACCUCCGGCUGCAUCAGGACAAUGCAUGCAAUCUAUCUAUCUAUCUAUACCUCUAUACCUAUAUAUACCUAUACCAAAAAAUUACCACGUUAAUUAGAAAAUAGGAGCCGUUAAUCUGAUGGGACCGAGUUAUAACGGCCAGAUUUCAUUAGACAAUAGGAACCGUUAAUCUGAUGGAACCGAGUUAUAACGGCCAGAUUUAAGUAGACAAUAUGAGCGGUUAAUGGGGACAGAAAAAUUAUCUGGAUGCAAAAGAAAAGGCAGUCACGUUAAAAAGGAUUUCUGACAAUUCUUCUCCUGUUUCUUUUGUGAUUACACGUACACAUAAUUAUAUUGAGUCCUACUUCUAUACGUAUGGCUGGAAUCACAAGAUAAAAUAGGAGACUCUACUCCUUUUUGUUUAUAGAAGAGUCCUACUUCGGUACGUGCUGGGUAACCGUCCAACAGCCGUACAUGAUCCAAAAAAAAAUAAACGCAUCUAAUCUCCACAAGCCGCUUGGCCUUUUGCACGCAAAAUAAGCUGCUUGGCCUUUCAACUAAAAAAAAAACUCUCAGCUUUUCAACUAAAAAGAUGCUGCUCGGCCUUUAGGGUCCCAAUUCCAUGACAGCCCCAUGGAGUCGCCUUUCUCUCCAAUUAGGAUCUUAGUGGCAUGGGACUCUUCUCUCUCUCCCUCUUUACCUCAAAGAAAAAAGUUGCAAAUCAUAGUCUCCUUCCAAUCCGUGUUCGCCCGGAGAUUAUCCCUGCACAAUGUCAGCUCCAACUCGAUGGCCAUGGGCGACCAACGACGGCUCCUACUGUGCCGCCUAUAUCCACAUGCGAGGCUGCAAGGUCAAGAUUAAACCUUCUACUCAUCUGCCCUCAGUUUCAAAACUCCAUCAAUGCUUCUGAUCUAAAAAGAGCCAACUAUCAGGGUAGGGUAAGAUGUAAUCGAUGGUCUUCCAAAGUAGAUGCUGCUGGUCCCGUAUGUGGAGCAUUGACAAUUCUAAAACCUACUACAGGACUGCUGGAGAGAGAUUUAUCUGUCCGAAGUCGCCGAGGUCAUUCUAGGUUAUGCAUCUCCACUCUUAUUAUAAGUAGACGCGCAAAGCCAAUCUGUUGAUUUAAGGUCGCUAGAUCACAAGUACCUAAAUUGGUUUGAUUUUUCCUUCUCAAUGAGAUAUGUUUGCAUGGUGAAUUGCUUUGUUUUCAUGCUGUAGAUGAUUCCCAGGUGGUUAUUCGGACAGCAUGCUGCCACUCCAGAAGAACUAAGAUAUGUUGCUGUUCCCAAGUCUCAACAGCGACCACGGCCUCUUCUGCCAUGCAAACUUGGUCGGGUGUCUCCCAUGCCUUGGUGGCAGCUAACCGGUUGUGUCCAGUCACACAAGAGAACGGCCAUUAGAGGCAACACAUGCAGAUUGAAGGGGGGAAGCAGGAGUGCCGGAAAACAGAAAUUGCAAGCAUGUCGUUCAUGCAGGAAAGAGGGACAACGGACAGAUGGGAACUGACGGAGCGAUAGAUGCUUACACCGGUAAGUGCUCUGGACAUGGGAUCUUAGCUAACCCUGGGACUGAAUCAUGCCUUUUGUUGUGGUUCAGCCAUACAUUUAUUUUUUUCAAAGGAAUUAAUGAGUUUUCUUACCAAACUUUUUGAUUUUCUUUCAGAAAUAAUAAACAGUUUUUAAUCCCAGCUAUGUUGCUAUUACAUGGAUUGUGAUUAUUGUUUGUUUCUUCUUUUAUAUUAUAUAAGAAGAAGUGACAAUGGCAACCAUCACUAUGCUCUAUGAUUCUUAAAACAUAUACAAAUGUAUUGAUAUAUUCUGCUAAAAAUCCGUUUGAUGCCAUAUUCAGAUGUAUACUAUAUUUUGUGUAGAAAAUUUUCAGCACGUUAGUUGGGUCAGAUACCAUAUAUAGUUUAAGAAAACAGAAACAUUCAGAUAUUCGGGGACUGAAAACUACAGUUUCAAACACUUAUUGUGUUUUGUAAGUCGAAAUGAUAUUAAAUGUAAAAUAACAAUCCAUACAGUUUGAAAUUGCUUUGAUCUAGGGACACAUGCGUACAUAAACCAACUUAAUGGAGGAGGUUAUUAGGAUGGAAUGAUACGUGGCUAAUUGAUCUUUUCAUGUUGAUGACAUUAGUUGUUGAGGCUUCUGUGCAACCUAAUCAUGGUGAAUCUCUAUAUAGCAACAGUAGUAUAAUAUAUCAGAUGGUAUAUAGUGGACAAAAGGAUCGACUUCGUCAUGUUACCAAUAAAAAAUAGUAGUUUAAAACUAUUAAUAUCUAGCCACAUAUUAAAUUGAUGGCCUUUUGCGAGGGUAUCUGAUGGUUGUCUUUUUUGAAAUGGUGUGGAUGGUAGCCCGUAAAGGUGAUGCCUUACGAUGGAGCAAUUGCAACCAGUUAAAAAAUUAUAUUACGAUCUAUGCCUAUAAGUUGGAGAUUCACUCCAAGGCAACAUACGAAUGAUAUAUAUGGUUUAUAUACAAUUCCCGUCAUUUAUUUUACAUUAAAUUAAAGAAUGUAAUUCUAUAACGAAAAGCGGAAGAGUAAAUAUAUUUUGCUAUUUUGUCUUAGAGGGCACAAGUUCAUGAAACUUAAUCUCUAAAAGUCUAAUUGAUUCCAAGGAAUUUUAAUAGAAAGAUUUUGUGGUGCAGAUGUUGAAAUUAAAGGAAAACUACGUAAUCGAUAUUUUUUGUCUUAUUAGUUGACACGCUAGAUAAAUUAUGCUUCUGUAGGUCUUAAUUGAGUCCGCUUCAGUAUGCAAGAAUUAAUUUUAUUCAAAAUUAUUAAUAGUCUAUUUGAGUUUCACUUUCUAUUGCCAAAAAAUAAACUACAUAAAUAAGUUUACAAAAAUAUAGGUUCAAAUCCAUUGUGCUCCAGAACUCGAGGAAAAAUAAUAAUGAAUGGAUCAAAAGGUUCUCGCAAAAAAAGAACUGGAGAAAUAUAUAAUUAAUAGAUCGAAAGGUUCUCGCACAAAAAAAUAAUGAAUGGAUCGAAAGGUUCUCGCACAAAAAUAUAGGUUCAAAUCCAUUGUGCUUCAGAACUGGAGAAAUUGUAUACGGGAUUCCUCUGAUAACACCUUUAAACACAUCGAGUAUCAUGAAAAUAUUUGGAUCUCAUCUAUAAUUUUAAACUGAUUUCUUAUGCUUAAAACUAACAAUCAAUCAUAGGAGUACUAUCAGGAUACCCAUUAUUUUUAGAGGAGACCUUCUUGGGCUGUGAGUUGUUACAAGAAACUAGGUUUGUUCAUGAAAAUAGAUGUUACUACUAUAUUUGGUUCGUUUCUAACUAUACCAUGCAAGACAAUAUCCCUAUAUGUAGCUGAUUUAUAUGUUAUUUGUCUUUUUUUUGUUGCUAAAGAUUGCACCUUUAUUAUAGUUAAUUAGUGAUUGAGGAAAUCCUGCAAUGACAUUAUUUGUUUCCCCCUACAUAUCACAAAGGACUACUUUCACAUGUUGUCAUACUCAUGCUUUUUUAGUUUUUUUUUAUGCUAGCCCGUGCAGUUGCACGGGUUCACGACUAGUUAUUUUAUUAAUUGUUCAUCAAGACCAUACAAAGCAAUGCAUCAACAAGUCUGAAGUCACCAUCUCGGCAAAAUCCAUCGCUAUUCCUAUCAACUUGUAGAAGGGGGUGCAGAUUAUCUGAGCCGUAUACCCAUACCUCACACCAAA